UACAGAGGUCUCAAGCGUUGUUCGGAUUCAUUGGGCGUAAAGGGCGCGUAGGCGGCGGGGUAAGUCUGGUGUGAAAUCUCGGAGCUCAACUCCGAAAUUGCACUGGAUACUGCUCUGCUAGAGGGCUGGAGAGGAGAUCGGAAUUCACGGUGUAGCAGUGAAAUGCGUAGAUAUCGUGAGGAAGACCAGUGGCGAAGGCGGAUCUCGGGACAGCUCCUGACGCUGAGGCGCGAAGGCUAGGGGAGCAAACGGG
rnacentral:rRNA from 1 species